UACGUAGGGGGCUAGCGUUGUCCGGAAUCAUUGGGCGUAAAGCGCGUGUAGGCGGCCCGGUAAGUCCGCUGUGAAAGUCGGGGGCUCAACCCUCGGAUGCCGGUGGAUACUGUCGGGCUAGAGUCCGGAAGAGGCGAGUGGAAUUCCUGGUGUAGCGGUGAAAUGCGCAGAUAUCAGGAGGAACACCAGUGGCGAAGGCGGCUACCUGGCCCACUCUUGACGCUGAGGCGCGAAAGCUAGGGGAGCAAACGGG
rnacentral:rRNA from 1 species